rfam:Oryctolagus cuniculus chromosome 8, whole genome shotgun sequence.
AGGAAAAACAUUUACAAUUGGAGCAAAAUGUUUCUCCGGCCAUGAACCCCUUCUUCCCAGGGUGGUGCUACCCACAGAGGCUCCUGUGGCUUCGCCUCCCUCUGAUCUGGGCCCAUACAGCCUGCAGCCCAGUUGCCACGCGGCUAAGCCGCUGGGACAAUAAGGACUCCCACACCAAGAUGCUUCUGUUGGAAGGGCACAACA